UCGCGGCUUAUCACCGGCAGUCCCCCUAGAGUGCCCAACCAAAUGAUGGCAACUAAGGGCGAGGGUUGCGCUCGUUGCGGGACUUAACCCAACAUCUCACGACACGAGCUGACGACAGCCAUGCACCACCUGUGAAGGUGCCCCGAAGGGAGACCGUGUUUCCACGGUUGUCACCUACAUGUCAAGCCCAGGUAAGGUUCUUCGCGUUGCGUCGAAUUGAACCACAUGCUCCGCUGCUUGUGCGGGUCCCCGUCAAUUCCUUUGAGUUUUAACCUUGCGGCCGUACUCCCCAGGCGGAUAACUUAAUGCGUUAGCGACGGCACGGGAGGAGUCGACACCUCCCACACCUAGUGCCCAUCGUUUACGGCGUGGACUAC
rnacentral:misc_RNA from 1 species